rnacentral:rRNA from 1 species
AGCGAACGCUGGCGGCAGGCUUAACACAUGCAAGUCGAGCGGGCCCUUCGGUGUCAGCGGCAGACGGGUGAGUAACACGUGGGAACGUACGCUUUGGGUGGGAAUAACGCCGGGAAACUAGCGCUAAUACCGGAAACGCCUGUCUGGGGAAAGGCUUGCUGCCGAAGGAUCGGCCCGCGUCUGGUUAACUAGUUGGUGGGGUGAUGGCCUACCAAGCCGACGAUCAGUAGCUGGGCGGAGAGGAUGAUCAGCCACACUGGGACUGAGACACGGCCCAGACUCCUACGGGAGGCAGCAGUGGGGAAUAUUGGACAAUGGGCGCAAGCCUGAUCCAGCCAUGCCGCGUGAGUGAUGAAGGCCUUAGGGUUGUAAAGCUCUUUUGUCCGGGACGAUAAUGACGGUACCGGAAGAAUAAGCCCCGGCUAACUUCGUG